rnacentral:rRNA from 1 species
UACGUAGGGAGCAAGCGUUGUCCGGAAUUAUUGGGCGUAAAGAGCUCGUAGGCGGUCUGUUGCGUCCGCUGUGAAAACCCGGGGCUUAACCCCUGGCUUGCAGUGGAUACGGACAGACUAGAGGUAGGUAGGGGAGAAUGGAAUUCCACGUGUAGCGGUGAAAUGCGUAGAGAUGUGGAGGAACACCAGUGGCGAAGGCGACUCUUUGGCCUGUAACUGACGCUGAGGCGCGAAAGCGUGGGGAGCAAACAGG